rnacentral:rRNA from 1 species
UGCAAGUGUUAUCCGGAAUCACUGGGCGUAAAGCGUCUGUAGGUGGCUUAACAAGUCAACUGUUAAAUCUUGAAGCUCAACUUCGAAAUCGCAGUCGAAACUGUUAGGCUAGAGUAUAGUAGGGGUAAAGGGAAUUUCCAGUGGAGCGGUGAAAUGCGUAGAGAUUGGAAAGAACACCGAUGGCGAAGGCACUUUACUGGGCUAUUACUGACACUCAGAGAACGAAAGCUAGGGUAGCAAAUGGGAUUAGAUACCCCAGUAGUCCUAGCCGUAAACAAUGGAUACUAGAUGUUGGGCAGAUCGACCUGUUCAGUAUUAAAGCUAACGCGUUAAGUAUCCCGCCUGGGAAGUAUGCGCGCAAGCGUGAAACUCAAAGGAAUUGGACGGGGGCCCGCACAAGCGGUGGAGCAUGUGGUUUAAUUCGAUGCAACGCGAAGAACCUUACCAGGGUUUGACAUGAUACGUUAAUUUUUUAGAAAGAAAAAAGUGCCGUUUUGGAACGUAUACACAGGUGGUGCAUGGCU